GUAGUCAUAUGCUUGUCUCAAAGAUUAAGCCAUGCAUGUCUAAGUAUAAGCAAUUAUACCGCGAAACUGCGAACGGCCCAUUAAAUCAGUUAUCGUUUAUUUGAUAGUACCUUACUACUUGGAUAACCGUGGUAAUUCUAGAGCUAAUACAUGCUAAAAAUCCCGACUUCCGAAGGGAUGUAUUUAUUAGAUUAAAAGCCAAUGCCCUCUGGGCUCUUUGGUGAUUCAUGAUAACUUCUCGAAUCGCACGGCCUUGCGCCGGCGAUGGUUCAUUCAAAUUUCUGCCCUAUCAACUUUCGACGGCUGGGUCUUGGCCAGCCAUGGUGACAACGGGUAACGGGGAAUA
rnacentral:rRNA from 1 species